rnacentral:lncRNA from 1 species
CAGAUGAAACAGCCUUGUCACUUUCAGGAAUCUUGCGAGGUGAUGCUGGCCGAAAUGCACUAGUUGCAGCAGAUCCUUUCCAUCCAAGAGUCCCUUCAAACUGCAAAGGAGGAACAGGGAAUCCAGGAGCAGCUGCUGCCCUUGAAGCAGAAACAACAGAGAUGGAGGUGGAGAUUGGAUUUCCUGGUCGAUCUAUGUCGUCUGAGCUAACCUCUAGAUUCAAAUCAAAAUCACACCCUUUUUGGUCAUUGGAUUCAAGAUCCAAAGCAGCAUCAGUAAUCUGAGAGGACUCUAGCUUCUCUGUGACAUUAAUUGGGCCAGCUUCUGAGUAUGCAAGUGAAACCUCAGG